AUAUGAUGUUAAUCUUUUGCAGCUAAGAUCGCUACAAAUUGUGUUGAUUGUUCUCAGGCAGAAUCUCCUUGGUUAAAGAUUAAGAUUUCUUUCAAUAUGGUGAUCAUUUGUGUGUGAUACUGUUUGUCAAGGGAGAAUUGAUUUUAGAUGGUAAAGGAUGGACGUUUGCUUCUUUCUUAUGCAUCCUAAUGCUAUGGAGAGGAGUUAUGGUUUCGGAGUUAUUUGGAAAUAUAUUAUAUUGAUUGAUUGUCUUUGAUUUUUCUGGGAAGGUGUGUGAAGAGUUUGGUGCCUAAUAUGUCUACAAGGAGUGGAGAUUUUGAUUGGGGCUUCUUGUACAUGGUCGACCGAGUUUGAUGUGGCAAUAAGUUUUCUUCUCCUCGGGUUUUUGAAAGGAAUUCUUUCUGCUUGUUGAAAUUUUUCUGUCUUAUUGUUGUGGCCUGUGACUGCUGUUCUUAGGGGCAUUAUGUUCCAAGUGGAUCAUGAAUUCUAGAUUGAAGUUAGGUUGUCCCCUCGUCCUGUUGUUUUUUUAUUGGUAUUUUAGUGGACUCCUUGGGGCGAAUAAUGAGUAUGUGGCCUUUGGACUUCAAUUUUUGUGCAAAAUCAACUCUUGACAGUAAAAACACAGGUAUUUUGCUUUAUCAUCCUGUGAUUGACAUUAGCCUUUUGAGAUUUGGAUUGCUUUAAGUUACAUUGCUUUAAGUUAAUGCUCAUUACAUUACACAAAGUCAGUCGGUGGGUAUGCCAGGUUUGCAAUCUCAAGUUUUUCCAUUUCUGGACGGAUAUUUUAGGACCGAAUUCUAUGGCCCGUGAUGUUUGUUUCAUGGUGUUGUGACCUAUAGUUUCCUAUUUCGUGAAGUUUUUUUGACAUAAUUGAUGAGGAAGAUGCUCGAAAAUGGUGUUGUGAUCUACUCGUACUUUAAGCUUAGGUUUGUGUUUUCCCUUUUGCCUUUUGUAUAUGAGUGUUUUGGGUUCAGAGUUGUGUGGACGUCUUCUAUGUUCUUGGACGGUUCAGGCAUGUAGCAGUUUUGUGAUUUGUGGUAUGCAGUUGCUGCAGUUAUGAUAUUUAAAGAAUUUGAUGUCGAUAUGACCACGUGACUUUUUGAUUUGGGUUUUCUUAUUGCUACGGCUUGCAACUGCAUUUUUCUUAGCCUUUUGGUUUUAAAGUUUGGCAAAUAACUUAGCCUUUGUUACUGGAUUUAUGUGGACAAGCAUCUUUGGGCAGCGAAAGAACAGGGUUUUACUGGUUUUGCUUUAUCCUCGUGAUUGACGCAAGUUAAGCAUUUUGAGGUUUGCAUGGAAUUAACCUCUUGUUGUCUUUGUUUUAAAUUCUGAAUUUGUUUUAAUCUCUUGUUGUCUGAUCAAAUUCCUAGUCGAAGAGAGUGUGUAAGUUGAUGUAAGUUAAUGCCUUAAAUGUUGGACACAACUGUGUAGUGGAUUGGAUUUUUUACGGUUAUUUACAGAUUCUGGUGAGCGACGGUCUUUUGCAGCUCUUUGGCGUCUAGCAUGCAUAGUUUGGCUUGUCUUUGGUAUUCAAUGGAACUGUUAAUUAUUUGUACAAGCAGCUUUUGUUAGAUUAUAAAGUUGGUGUGCUGGUUUCGUGUUGUAA